UUACACAUGCAAGUCGAACGAUGAAGCCCUUCGGGGUGGAUUAGUGGCGAACGGGUGAGUAACACGUGGGCAAUCUGCCCUUCACUCUGGGACAAGCCCUGGAAACGGGGUCUAAUACCGGAUAACACUCUGUCCCGCAUGGGACGGGGUUGAAAGCUCCGGCGGUGAAGGAUGAGCCCGCGGCCUAUCAGCUUGUUGGUGGGGUGAUGGCCUACCAAGGCGACGACGGGUAGCCGGCCUGAGAGGGCGACCGGCCACACUGGGACUGAGACACGGCCCAGACUCCUACGGGAGGCAGCAGUGGGGAAUAUUGCACAAUGGGCGAAAGCCUGAUGCAGCGACGCCGCGUGAGGGAUGACGGCCUUCGGGUUGUAAACCUCUUUCAGCAGGGAAGAAGCGAAAGUGACGGUACCUGCAGAAGAAGCGCCGGCUAACUACGUGCCAGCAGCCGCGGUAAUACGUAGGGCGCAAGCGUUGUCCGGAAUUAUUGGGCGUAAAGAGCUCGUAGGCGGCUUGUCACGUCGGAUGUGAAAGCCCGGGGCUUAACCCCGGGUCUGCAUUCGAUACGGGCUAGCUAGAGUGUGGUAGGGGAGAUCGGAAUUCCUGGUGUAGCGGGAAAAUGCGAC
rnacentral:rRNA from 1 species